GUAAAAUCUGUGAAAAGUGACAAGUCACAAAGUCCUACAAUAUCAAAUAAUUUUAUUUAAGUGAUCAAUAAUACAAUAAAAUGUGUAUAGUCGGUGAAAUGUUUAUAAGGUUUAUUUUGUUUAAAUGUUUAUUUUCACAAUCAACUGUUUUUUGCAAUAUAUGAACGAUUCAUUUACGACUCCAUGGUUUUCAUAAUAAUUCUUAAUUACCUUGAUUCUUUGCAAUAUUUGUCGCUUCUCUUUAUAAGAGAGCAGAAUUUCUGGUACGUUUGAUCAUUAUAAUGCACAUGUUACAUCCUGCAUCAUGAUGCUUAAAUGAAUCAAAUACAUUCAUUACAAAAAAAUCUAUUUAAUUUAUUAAUGGACCCGUCUCUCUCAGAAAGACGAGUACAUCCCAAGCCUCCUGGCGGCUUCCGAGAUCCUUGGGGUCUUCCUGUUUGGGAAGGGGUGGUGGUUCUGGUUCUGAUGGACCGCAUUGGAGGAGCCAACGCCCCCUAGACUCAACUGCCUGGUUAACCUCAGGGCCGGGGCCUUGCAGCAGGUCUUCGAGCAGGCUGCUGGUGGGGGCGGAGCUUUCAUCAGAGCAGGGGGGGGGACCCCCUCUGGAUCCACUGCUCUGAUCUGGUUCUGGUUUGGACCCGUCAGCGUUGACGCCGUCCGUGGUGCUGCAGGACUCUGAUGAAGACGAGGAGCGUCUAUAACAACAGUGGAUGAUAAUCAAUGAGGAUGAUCUUUAAACAGACAUUAAAGGCACAGAUUCAAUCAAAUAGAAUUAAACCAAGUUCAUUUUCACGUCACACGAUUAAACAUAAAUUCACCCAUUUCCUUCUAAUAACAAAAAUAAAUGAAUGUAUAAUUUCUAUUUAUUUUCAUUGAUAUGUUGGUAUUGUUUCUAAUGAAAUCUCGCUAACCGGAAGGAACUGCGAGUCGUUUCAGGGGACGACUCGCACCGGCCAGGGUCCAGGCGCCACGGGUCUCUGCAGGUCGUUGGGUCGGGGUCAAAGGUCACCGGUGGCAUACCCCCGAGCGCUUCCCAUGGCAACGCCAAAACCUGAGUGACGGCUUC
ensembl:lncRNA